ACGGCAUAUAUGUUCAAAGGUUUGAAACUACGAUCGCGUUCCCCUUUGUUUGGGAAUGUGACCUACCAAAUAACACUCAACACGUGUGUUGUACUUGCAUAAAAACAAGACAGGUGCAACAUGUGGAGCAGAAUGUGAUUUCCCUUUAAGAGCACCUGCGAUCAGCAACCGGAAAUCUAGUUGUUCAUUCCUUAGUUUUGUA
rnacentral:lncRNA from 1 species